rnacentral:rRNA from 1 species
UUCGUAAGGUACCGUCAUCAAAGUACACGUACUCCUUAUUCUUCCCUUACAAAAGCAGUUUACAACCCAUAGGGCCGUCAUCCUGCACGCGGCAUGGCUGGAUCAGUCUUCCGACCAUUGUCCAAUAUUCCUCACUGCUGCCUCCCGUAGGAGUCUGGUCCGUAUCUCAGUACCAGUGUGGGGGACAUCCCUCUCAGAACCCCUAUCUAUCGUCGCCUUGGGGAGCCGUUACCUCUCCAACUAGCUAAUAGAACGCAUACUCAUCUUUCACCACUGUAGCUUUAAUAUAAAAACGAUGCCGCUCUUAUAUACCAUUAGGUAUUAAUCCAAAUUUCUUCGGGCUAUCCCUAUGUGAAAGGCAGAUUGUAUACGCGUUACGCACCCGUGCGCCGGUUUUGGUUACCCGAAAGUAACCUCUCCCUCGACUUGCAUGUGUUAGGCCUGCCGCUAGCGUUCAUCCUGAGCCAGGAUCAAACCCUC